UACGGAGGGUGCAAGCGUUGUCCGGAAUCACUGGGCGUAAAGGGCGCGUAGGCGGCUCAUGAAGGCUGUGGUGAAAGUCCGGGGCUCAACCUCGGAUCGGCCGUGGCGACUCGUGGGCUGGAGCACUGUAGAGGCGGGUGGAAUUCCGGGUGUAGCGGUGGAAUGCGUAGAGAUCCGGAAGAACACCAGUGGCGAAGGCGGCCCGCUGGGCAGUGGCUGACGCUGAGGCGCGACAGCGUGGGGAGCAAACGAGGAU
rnacentral:rRNA from 1 species